CAAAUUAGAGCUUGAAUGGAAGUAUUUCAUUUACAUUGAAAUGAUAUUAAUAUAAUUAAUUAAUUUGA
rnacentral:tRNA from 1 species